AUUGAACGCUGGCGGCAGGCCUAACACAUGCAAGUCGAACGGUAACAGGAAGAAGCUUGCUUCUUUGCUGACGAGUGGCGGACGGGUGAGUAAUGUCUGGGAAACUGCCUGAUGGAGGGGGAUAACUACUGGAAACGGUAGCUAAUACCGCAUAACGUCGCAAGACCAAAGAGGGGGACCUUCGGGCCUCUUGCCAUCGGAUGUGCCCAGAUGGGAUUAGCUAGUAGGUGGGGUAACGGCUCACCUAGGCGACGAUCCCUAGCUGGUCUGAGAGGAUGACCAGCCACACUGGAACUGAGACACGGUCCAGACUCCUACGGGAGGCAGCAGUGGGGAAUAUUGCACAAUGGGCGCAAGCCUGAUGCAGCCAUGCCGCGUGUAUGAAGAAGGCCUUCGGGUUGUAAAGUACUUUCAGCGGGGAGGAAGGGAGUAAAGUUAAUACCUUUACUCAUUGACGUUACCCGCAGAAGAAGCACCGGCUAACUCCGCG
rnacentral:rRNA from 1 species